GGGCUGUGUGACCUCAGCCACUUUGAGCUGGAUUUCUGUCACGACCAAAAGAGACCUGGCCAAUUCCAGGCAGAAACACAUGGAAAAGCUGGAAGAGGAGAGCAGUUGGGGUGAUGAAGAUUUGUCUGAAAAUCCUUUCUUGUGGGGUGUCUUAAUCAGGGCAGUUAUUUCACCUCUGCUUCCUGAAUAUCUCCCCUGGCUGCUGCCCUCUUUUGCCUGCCUUCAUGACUGUUACCUAGUUGAGGUCAUCAUUUUACAUGGAUGACCCGAGUGGCCCCCAACAAGCUUCUGUGCCUUCCCCCAACCAGCCCUCAUCUUGGUCACCAGCGGCUUUUCCACCUGCACCUGAGUUGUCCUUUCCUUGAUGAAGGAGUCCUUCGCAAGUCCCUAUCCACAGUGUGUUUUCAAUAAAUAUUUGUUGAAUAAA